rnacentral:lncRNA from 13 species
UUGCAUUCACGUUUCUUUUACAGAACGCAACGGUCGCGGAUGGACGUGCUCCAGAACGGAGGCGUCAUCGCGGCUCGUUUAACAGAACGCGCGGCGUACGCAGAAAGGAUCAACUCAGGGACGAAUGGCGUUAUGAUUCAUUUAAUUAAUUGUAUAGUAUCAUAUGUACUACAAUUUCAUUAUUGCACAUUGUGGGAAUAUAAUCUGAAGAGGAGAUCUGAUAACUCGGAAAUAAAUUAGACUUAAAGGAGGUAUCGGAUUUCGGAAGACAAACUUUGCGAUUUAUCGUAGCGAUGUAUCUGUUAACGCCACUGUUGCGCAUUGAUUGUGAACUUAUUCCAUGUAUUAAGCUAUCAUAUAUACACUCGUCGAUGAUUUAAAUAAACGAACCGCAACCGGUUCGUCGCGUCGCGUUUGUUCCGGGAGUGUCGUUCAAAGUAACUGGACUAAUGGAUUUAACUAGUCCACGUGCGUGAUUUUAAUAUAUUAUUCGCGAGUGUUUCGCGAGUGCAACGGAAGAAAGGGACCUGACAACUUGGACCUGAGAGGAGGAGGAGGCCUGGGAGAGGUAUCGGGCCCCAGCGGAGCAACAUUGUGUAAUCAACGUAGCUUCGUAGCUCAAUAACUCCGCUCGUUGCGCAUCGGAUCGGUG